GAUGAACGCUGGCGGCGUGCCUAAUACAUGCAAGUCGAGCGAACAGACGAGGAGCUUGCUCCUCUGACGUUAGCGGCGGACGGGUGAGUAACACGUGGAUAACCUACCUAUAAGACUGGGAUAACUUCGGGAAACCGGAGCUAAUACCGGAUAAUAUAUUGAACCGCAUGGUUCAAUAGUGAAAGACGGUUUUGCUGUCACUUAUAGAUGGAUCCGCGCCGCAUUAGCUAGUUGGUAAGGUAACGGCUUACCAAGGCAACGAUGCGUAGCCGACCUGAGAGGGUGAUCGGCCACACUGGAACUGAGACACGGUCCAGACUCCUACGGGAGGCAGCAGUAGGGAAUCUUCCGCAAUGGGCGAAAGCCUGACGGAGCAACGCCGCGUGAGUGAUGAAGGGCUUCGGAUCGUAAAACUCUGUUAUUAGGGAAGAACAAAUGUGUAAGUAACGAUGCACGUCUUGACGGUACCUAAUCAGAAAGCCACGGCUAACUACGUGC
rnacentral:rRNA from 1 species